rnacentral:rRNA from 1 species
UACGAAGGGUGCAAGCGUUGCUCGGAAUCAUUGGGCGUAAAGCGCACGUAGGCGGCUUCGCAAGUCGGAUGUGAAAUCCCUCGGCUCAACCGAGGACGUGCAUACGAAACUGCGAAGCUUGAGUACUGAAGAGGAUCGCGGAAUUCCCGGUGUAGAGGUGAAAUUCGUAGAUAUCGGGAGGAACACCAGUGGCGAAGGCGGCGAUCUGGGCAGAUACUGACGCUGAGGUGCGAAAGCGUGGGGAGCAAACAGG